rnacentral:lncRNA from 1 species
UUUGACAUUGCAUUCAUCUGAUAUGAGACCUCAUCUAAGAGUGUCAAAGGAGUUGAUUGACUUAAGUCAGGUGGAAAACAGCCAGAAGAAGUAGCUGCAGACUAUAUAGCACUGGGACAACCUACUUUCAAAUGAAAUUUGUCACCUCUGUUUAAAAUGCUUGGCAACACCACAGAACAGUUAAAGACUAAAAGGUAUGGCCAACAUAACCAAAUGAUGCUGCACAGAUAAGCACGGCUGGCUGAAUUGGUUGGCCUCAGUUUCUCAAGACCAGACUGUUUUUGCCUAAGGAAAAGUAGCCAGGACCUCCAACAGAAGGCUCAAGAAGAAGGCAGAACCAGAACAUCACAUCCCUCACUAAUGAUGUGCCCAGCCAGCUACUAGUUCAACACUGACUCAGAAGGAAGAAAAAUCACAUACUGAGUAAUCAGCUCCACAUCCUGAAGAAUGUAAGUUUAUAGAUCCUUUGAGAUUUCUCUGGAACUUUUUUUGCUCACUUUUCUGAAGCAUCACUACCUGAGGAACUGUAUGUCUAAGUGUCACAUGGCCUGCAGGCAAGCAGAUGAAGGACAGUACGAGGACUUGAGUCCAUCCUGCAGCAGCAUCCACAGGGUAUGAUGAAAGUCCUGAAGUAGAAUAGCCGAAGUUGGCUAGCAAUUCUGAAGCUGGGAUUUUUAACCAUGGAAGAGAGUGCCAUGGAAAAGGUUGGAUAGUUAAACAGAUGAGCUCUGAAUACUUCUUUCCCUGUAAGAAUUAAUGACCAUACAUAAAUGAAAGUAAGCUGAGUUGUAUAGCAAAGAUUGUAAAUCUUGAAAUUCUUUCUUUAAAACUUUGGGUCACACACUUGAUGGACCUCUUGCUGUAUGGUCCAUAGGUAGUUUUGGGAACAUCUGUUAUCUCCCAGGAUCUUCACGGCUCCGUAAUCAAAGUCAAGUGCUGUUUUAAGAAAUAUCUACCUAUGAAGCAACUGUAAAACUGAUGCAGUUUCCUGUGCGGUGUGCAAAUACAGUUUAUUAAAUUCUCAAAAUACAUCAUUAAGUUAUUUUCCCAUGGGCCUCCUAGAUGAUGCCAUCAUUAUUAUUAUAUAUUUGCAUCGCAUUUAUGUAUAGAGGGCUGUCAGCCCCACCAGCACGCAGUUUCCUGCUGCCAUGGCGUCCUGAUGCCAGGCCAGAUCUUUGGUUGGACACUGCCUUUAAAUUUUUGUUUCUCUGAAAACUUUGUGCUACUGAGCUCUAUGUAGAAAUUGAAAAAUUUUGACAGGAUAAAGGAAUUUCUCUCUCUUGCAUUUCUCUUCCUAAUCAUUGCAUUUGAGGGGCUUGAUAUUUAUGAGAGUGAGACCUGAAAUGGAUGACAAGGA